UUGAGCCGUAUGUGCUGAAAGGUACAAGUACGGUUCUUAGGGGAGAAAGAGUUGGUAACACCUCUGACUUACCCGACU
rfam:Bacillus anthracis virulence plasmid PX01, complete sequence.